GGGGGAAUUUGCGAUUGUUCAUGUUUUGAGACACAAGCACAGAUUCUGCCCAGCAACAAGUAACGCCCUGUACGGUGCCUUAACGUCCUGCCGCUCCCGUUCAGCGUCCAGGACACUGAUAUUCUCGAAGUCUUGCAGUACAGGGAACCCAGGGAUCCGAAGGCGGCAGCGGCUAGCAUCCAACAGUCACCUGCACUGAAAAAAAGGAUUUUUUUGGCCCUGUAAUUAUUACCUUAAAUAUUAAUUUAAAUUUUACAAGGAUUUAUUAUUUAACUUCUUUUACUCAAAAAUCUCACUCUUUAUUUAAUGCCUUACUUGAUGAUUGUGUGUAACUUUGUAUCCUCACAUUUAUUUGUAAAUAUGAUCACUGACACCAAGUAAUAUUUACAUAACUAAUGUAUUGAUUUUACAACCUGAUACCAGAUAGCAAAAUGUACUUGGGUAAUAGCGUAAACCUGGCCACCUUGUGGCCAUUCUGCGCAUGCGUCAGACUUCCUAAGGCAAAGUUUGAGGGCGAUGUGGAGCCAUAUGGCGUCUAGGAAGCAGAGUCCUCUCUGUAAAACAGCAGCUUUCACCAACUAAGACGCCUGACUGAGAAGAAUAUUGAAGGACAUUGACGCUCAAGAAUUUGGUUUCAAAAGCUUAGACAAGGCUCAGUCUACCAAACCUCAAAGAUCUGCAUACUGGUAGACCUAAGAUCAGCCUCUGGGACAUCAAUCCUGAAAGUUCCUCCAAGGCCACACUUGAGAUGAGCAUCACACGAAUCCUCCACGCACUGAUGGGUCCUGUCACGACUGGGCUUCAAACCCUCCUGACAGCUCUCUUCGUUUUCCUCUUUUCUUGUGUUCCUGUGUCUACGCCCUUAUUUUGCCACUACUUCCUUUGUUCCCCCUCUAGCUUAGUUUCCCCUUGUAUGCUCUAAUUUUGGUACUCAUUUCCUGUCUUGCCUCGUUUCCGUUUCCUACCUGAUGAGAGGAGAAAUAUGAUCUCAGGGAAGAACUAAAUUUGAAACACUGAUAUGCUCGGACUACGGUAAAAAGCCAUAGCAUUUCAGUAUGUGGAAUCAAACUAUGGAAUGGAUUGAGUAAGGACCUCAAACAAUGCACAACGAUGAGCCAAUUCAAGAAACAAUACAAGCAGUUGAUGUUUGCUAAAUACAAGGAUGAAGAGUCUUGAACCAGUCAUGAUGUGCUAUAUAUAUCACUAUAUUGACACUUACUAUGGUACACAU